UUUAGACUAGCUUAUUCUAAUAAAAUUGAGAAUGGAAAUGGGGAAUGUGUCAAAGAGACAACAACCCGACCAAAAUAAAAAACAACAGCAGAAGGUCACCAACAGGUCUUCAAUGUAGCGAGAAAUUCCCGCACCCGGAGGCGUCAUUCAGCUGGCCCCUAAACAAAUAUAUACUAGUUCAGUGAUAAUGAACGCCAUACUAAUUUCCAAAUUGUACACAAGAAACUAAUAUAAAAAUAAUACAAGACUAACAAAGGCCAGAGGCUCCUGACUUGGGACAGGCGCAAAAAUGCGGCGGGGUUAAACAUGUUUGUGAGAUCUCAACCCUCCCCCUAUACCUCUAACCAAUGUAGAAAAAUAAACGCAUAACAAUACGCACAUUAAAAUUCAGUUCAAGAGAAGUCCGAGUCUGAUGUCAGAAGAUGUAACCAAAG
rnacentral:lncRNA from 1 species